GAUCAUGGCUCAGGAUGAACGCUAGCUACGGGCUUAACACAUGCAAGUCGAGGGGAAACGACAUCGAAAGCUUGCUUUUGAUGGGCGUCGACCGGCGCACGGGUGAGUAACGCGUAUCCAACCUGCCCAUCACUUGGGAAUAACCUUGCGAAAGUAAGACUAAUGCCCAAUGAUAUCCCACGAAGGCAUCCGAAUGGGAUUAAAGAUUUAUCGGCGAUGGAUGGGGAUGCGU
rnacentral:rRNA from 1 species